AUUGAACGCUGGCGGCAUGCCUUACACAUGCAAGUCGAACGGUAACAGGUCUUCGGAUGCUGACGAGUGGCGAACGGGUGAGCAAUACAUCGGAACGUGCCUAGUAGUGGGGGAUAACUACUCGAAAGAGUGGCUAAUACCGCAUGAGAUCUACGGAUGAAAGCAAGGGAUCGCAAGACCUUGUGCUACUAGAGCGGCCGAUGGCAGAUUAGGUAGUUGGUGGGAAAAAAGCUUACCAAGCCGACGAUCUGUAGCUGGUCUGAGAGGACGAUCGGCCACACGGGGACGGAGACACGGCCCAGACUCCUACGGGAGGAAGCAGUGGGGAAUUUUGGACAAUGGGGGAAAGCCUGAUCCAGCAAUGCCGCGUGCAGGAUGAAGGCCUUCGGGUUGUAAACUGCUUUUGUACGGAACGAAAAAGCUUCUCCUAAUACGAGAGGCCCAUGACGGUACCGUAAGAAUAAGCACCGGCUAACUACGUGCCAGCAGCCGCGGUAA
rnacentral:rRNA from 1 species